rnacentral:rRNA from 1 species
UACGUAGGGUGCGAGCGUUGUCCGGAAUUACUGGGCGUAAAGAGUUCGUAGGCGGUUUGUUACGUCGUUUGUGAAAACUCACAGCUCAACUGUGAGCCUGCAGGCGAUACGGGCAGACUUGAGUACUGCAGGGGAGACUGGAAUUCCUGGUGUAGCGGUGAAAUGCGCAGAUAUCAGGAGGAACACCGGUGGCGAAGGCGGGUCUCUGGGC